GAAGGUUGCAGCGGUUCAAGGAAGUAAACUAAACAAAGAACAGACAUCUUACAUGCCCCAAAUUCCUGAUAUUUCAAGCUGUCUAGAGCACUUGUUGCCUCUCAAGAAGUGGGAGGAAGCAUUCCUUGCUGAUUUUUCAGAGCUAAGACUGGCUUUGUCACGUUUGGAAGCUAAUAUUGGAAGUUCUAGGCAGCUGCAUUCUUCAACCUUUGUUGAUAAACCACACUCUUCUGAUCAGCUUCCUGAAAACAUUGUUCUGGAUAAGUU
rnacentral:misc_RNA from 1 species